rnacentral:lncRNA from 1 species
CUGGAAUAGUUUGCUUUUUCCUUCUCUAGCUCAUUUUAUAGAUGAAGAAACAGAGGCAAAUAGGAUGAAGUUCUCUCUCUCUCUCUCUCUCUCUCUCUCUCUCUCUCUCUCUUUCUUUCUUUCUUUCUUUCUUUCUUUCUUUCUUUCUUUCUUUCUUUCUUUCUUUCUUUCUUUCUUUCUUUCUUUCUUUCUUUCUUUCUUUCUUUCUUUCUUUCUUUCUUUCUUUCUUUCUUUCUCUCUCUUUCUUCCUCUCUCUUCCUUCCUUCCUUCAUUCCUUCCUUCCUUCCUUCCUUCCUUCCUUCCU